rnacentral:rRNA from 1 species
AUUGAACGCUGGCGGCAGGCCUAACACAUGCAAGUCGAGCGGAUCGGCGGACGGGUGAGUAAUGCAUAGGAAUCUGCCUGGUCGUGGAGGAUAACGUCCGGAAACGUGCGCUAAUACCGCAUAGUAUCAGAUGAGCCUAGGUCGGUUUAGCUAGUUGGUGGGGUAAUGGCCGAACAAGGCGACGAGCCGUAACUGGUCUGAGAUGAUGCUCAGGCAAACUGGAACUGCGACACGGGCCAGAUACCUACGGGAGGCAGCAGUGGGGAAUAUUGGACAAUGGGCGAAAGCCGUAUCCAGCCAUGCCGCGUGGGUGAAGAAGGUUUUCGGAUGGUAAAGCACUUUAAGUUGGGAGGCGGUACCAACAGAAUAAGCACCGGCUAACGUCGUGCCAGCAGCCGCGGUAAUUC